CAGAGCUAAGAAGUGACAGAAUCAGGAUUUAAAAUCUGGAAGUGUGGCUCUACAAUCUGCUUUGAACUUUAACAUAAUAUGUACAAAGCCUGAAGCAAAUUCUCAGCACUGUAUUUAAGAGAGCAUAGCAAUUAAGAAGAAAAAGAGCAAAGAUAAGAAGAGAAAAAGAGAAGAAGAUGAAGAAACCCAGCUUGAUAUGUUGGUGAGUCAGUUUUCAGUGCUUUAUUCUGAAAAAAGUUAACAUUUCUUGAGAUCUCAUUGAAAACAUUUUCCUAGUUAGAAAUUUAUGAUGUAUUCAUAUUUGUCUUAAA
rnacentral:lncRNA from 1 species